AACGAACGCUGGCGGCGUGCCUAACACAUGCAAGUCGAACGGGAAAACCCGCAAGGGUGAGUACAGUGGCGCACGGGUGCGUAACACGUGGGUAAUCUGCCCAGAAGCCCGGAAUAACUCCCCGAAAGGGGUGCUAAUGCCGGAUGAGACCACGGGGACUUCGGGUCCUGGGGGAAAAGGUGGCCUCUGUAUACAAGCUAUCACUUCUGGAUGAGCCCGCGGCCCAUCAGCUAGUUGGCGGGGUAAUGGCCCACCAAGGCUACGACGGGUAGCUGGUCUGAGAGGACGAUCAGCCACACUGGCACUGAGACACGGUCCAGACUCCUACGGGAGGAAGCAGUGGGGAAGCUUGCGCAAUGGGCGAAAGCCUGACGUAGCAACGCCGCGUGUGUGAUGAAGGUCUUCGGAUCGUAAAGCACUGUCGGGAGGGACGAAUAAGGGCCGGGUGAACAAUCCGGUUCGACGACGGUACCUCCAGAGGAAGCACCGGCUAACUCUGUGCCAGCCGCCGCCGUAACAC
rnacentral:rRNA from 1 species